rnacentral:rRNA from 1 species
UGAGGAAUAUUGGGCAAUGCCCGCAAGGGUGACCCAGCAACGCCGCGUGGAGGAUGAAUGUCGUAAGAUUGUAAACUCCUGUUAGAGGGGAAGAAUAGUACCGGUUGGACCGGUAUAUGACUGUACCCUCAGAGAAAGCCCCGGCUAACUACGUGCCAGCAGCCCCGGUAAUACGUAGGGGGCAAGCGUUGUCCGGAUUUACUGGGCGUAAAGCGCACGUAGGCGGACAUCUAAGUCAGGGGUGAAAUCCCGGGGCUCAACCCCGGAACUGCCUUUGAUACUGGGUUUCUAGUGGCUGGAAGAGGUUGGUGGAAUUCCUGGUGUGGAGGUGAAAUUCGGAGAUAAUCGGAGGAACACCAGUGGCGAAGGCGGCUCACUGGUCCGGUACUGACGCUGAGGUGCGAAAGCGUGGGGAGCAAACA